rnacentral:rRNA from 1 species
UAAGCAUAUCAAUAAGCGGAGGAAAAGAAACCAACAGGGAUUGCCCCAGUAACGGCGAGUGAAGCGGCAACAGCUCAAAUUUGAAAUCUGGCCCUUACGGGUCCGAGUUGUAAUUUGUAGAGGAUGCUUUUGGCAAGGCGCCGCCCGAGUUCCCUGGAACGGGACGCCACAGAGGGUGAGAGCCCCGUCUGGCUGGCCGCCGAGCCUCUGUAAAGCUCCUUCGACGAGUCGAGUAGUUUGGGAAUGCUGCUCAAAAUGGGAGGUAUAUGUCUUCUAAAGCUAAAUAUUGGCCAGAGACCGAUAGCGCACAAGUAGAGUGAUCGAAAGAUGAAAAGCACCUUGAAAAGAGGGUUAAAUAGUACGUGAAAUUGUUGAAAGGGAAGCGCUUGUGACCAGACUUGGGCGCGGCGGAUCAUCCGGGGUUCUCCCCGGUGCACUUCGCCGUGUCCAGGCCAGCAUCAGUUCGUCGCGGGGGAAAAAGGCUUCGGGAACGUGGCUCCCCUGGGAGUGUUAUAGCCCGUUGCAUAAUACCCUGCGGUGGACUGAGGACCGCGCAUCUGCAAGGAUGCUGGCGUAAUGGUCACCAGCGACCCGUCUUGAAACACGGACCAAGGAGUCGUCUUCGUAUGCGAGUGUUCGGGUGUCAAACCCCUACGCGUAAUGAAAGUGAACGCAGGUGAGAGCUUCGGCGCAUCAUCGACCGAUCCUGAUGUUCUCGGAUGGAUUUGAGUAAGAGCAUACGGGGCCGGACCCGAAAGAAGGUGAACUAUGCCUGUAUAGGGUGAAGCCAGAGGAAACUCUGGUGGAGGCUCGCAGCGGUUCUGACGUGCAAAUCGAUCGUCAAAUAUGGGCAUGGGGGCGAAAGACUAAUCGAACCUUCUAGUAGCUGGUUUCCGCCGA